rnacentral:lncRNA from 1 species
CCUUAUUGAGUGAUUCAACAUUUUUGUCCGUGCUAUUGAUUGAGCGACUCAAUCCUUAUCCAUCGGAUGUACUCCAUCCACCGGCCAAAGUUUCAGAGUGUUGCACAACCAACAAGCUUAGCUCCAUUACCAUACACUUUGACCAUCUUCGGAUCAGUUUUAGAGUGUUACACAACCAGCAACCUUGAUUACAUCAGUCAAAAUGAUAUCAGCGGCUAAAAUCACUUAAACAAAGCAAAAACAUGUUGUUCACGUAAUCGAGCCAAAAAUGUUAAGAAAAUAGUUAUGCAUACGCCGCAGAGAUUUAAAUUAUGAUACAUCGGAAUAUGCUUCUUAUAGCCCUUCCUAGAAAAUGUAAAAAAGAAACAAGUUACGUGCAAAUAAGAACUCAAUAAGAACACUGUUAUUUAUCGUUUAACGGAACGUCUUUCGUAAAAUAAAACUAAACAAUAUUACAAAAUAAACUUUUGAAUAAAUAACUCCGACUAAGUUUUUUAGAAUAUCUUUCAUAAACGAAACUAAACAGUUUUUACAAACUAAACUUCCGCAAAAGUAACUUCGAGAAAGUUAUAUAGAACAUCUUUUGUAAAAAAAAUUAAACCGUUUUUUUUUUCAUGAAAUAAGCUUCUGAAAAACUAACUUUGACAAAGUUUUACGGAACAUCUUUCAUAAAACGAGGCUAAACAGUUUUACAAAAUAACUUUCAUGAAACAAAACGAAACAAUUUUUUUCGAAGACAACUUCCGUAAACUUAAACAAAGCUUAACAUCCUUAUACGAAAUAACUUUUAAGGGAAAUGAACAGAACUACACAAAAUAAUUAACAUAAAACGAAAGAGGCGGGAAGAGCCAACAAGGAGAUCUUCCUCACCCUCUCUCUCUUCCUUUCCCCUUGUUAAUAUCUCCUCGCCCAUAUGAUCUCUUCGUUGCUCCUACCUCCUCACCGUGAUCUAAAUCGUAAAUAAGCCCAAACAAGUGACAAACUAUCUAGGUGGAGAAGAAUAUGAAAUAAUAAUGAGAAAAGGAAAAUUUCUGAAGAGGAAAAAUACAAAUCUUAGAGAAAAGGAAUAACUAGGAAAAAUGAAAGAGGAUAAGUUUGAA